CGCACGGGUUGGACCUGGGGCAGGUUGGAAGAGUAGGAGUAUGUCAUUGGGCGCGAAGACGGGGUCUGGGGCAGAAAAGAAGGGAGGCUGGAGAAAUCUGGACCCGAGACGUACUGCCUCUUUGAAGCGGAUCCGUGAAGUAGAAAUUUGGAGACGUAAGCUGACGUGGAAAUCUAUCCCCAUCCUUAGCAGGGAGGUGCUGGUCAUGUGACCCGAUGUUGAAAUUGACAAGCUGCGAGCUAGUCCGGGCCUUUUUUCCCCCCUUUCCUCUUUUUUUUUUUUCCCUCCCCUCCCCUCCCUCCCGGAUUUCUUUCUUUGUAGCUACCUCAGGGGAAGCAACAGAUCGUCACUCGGUGUUCUCACCGAAAGCACGUAAUCGCCGGUGUAACUCAUGUUGGCUGGGGGGCCUCCCCGCGCGCGGUGAGGCUGGGGUGAGCCCGGCUUGCGCUCAGCGGCACGGUCCUGGCCCUCCGGCGCGCCGUGGGCGGUGAGACAGCUCAGCUCCUGCCGCUCACCACUCCCCGGGCGAGGGGUGCCCCAGGCUGGGGGGUGUCCGGGUGGGAGCUCCUCGCUGCGUGGCCCAUGCGUGGUCGUGGAGUCAAUUCACUUGGAGGAUCGCGUUCGCGCCUCCUCCUUCGCUGUCUCGCUCCCACAGGUUUGCUCUGGGAGCCACCUCCGCCUCCGACCCUGGCCGGACCCUCUUCGGGGCCAGGGUUCGCAACCGCGGAUGUGCCUGCCUCGGGGCUUGCCCGAUUUGCACGGUGACUUGAUUACACGCUCGCAUUCACGGUCACUUCCGAACCGCUUUAGUGCCUUCCGUCCCCAAAUCGCCAACGACCAGGCGGCUUCCCCCGCGGUUUGUCAGGGAUCCGCAGGUCCCGGAGGGCCUUCGUCCUACCCGGGAUCCACCUCCUCUUCACCCUCCUGGCCGGCCUCCUCUCCCCACCCUCUCCUCCCCGCCGCCUGCGGGGGUUCGGGGUCACUCCGCAGAGCCCGAGGCGCGGGGGCUGCGCAGCCGCGCACUGGUCCGCCGGCCCGCCCGCCUGGUCUUCGGAAGCUGAGGACUCUGGAAACCAUGCAGUAGAGGCGAACCUGGGCUGCUUUAGAGGCGGUGACAUUCGAGGAGUCUUCUCCUGGGAGGCCCCACCGCGGAGCGGAGCCCACCCUGCUCAGGGCUCGGGACGACCCGACGGGGACUGAGGCUACCCUGGAAGUCCAAGUCCGAGUCGCAUUUCUUGAAGCGGCUGAGCCGGGCGACACUGUGACAUUGGCCCUGGAGACCGGUUUCUCAUGAGCUGUUCUUUGUCAAGAUUUCCACGGCGCGGGGCCAUCUCCAGAAAAACAAUCUUCCUCAUGCAUUUCCUUCUAUCGUCAACCCGGAGCCCCACAGCAGCGAACGCAAGAGGCCAAAAAAUGUUUUGGAGGAAGAAAAACAAAGGCAGGAAGUGGCGGCGGACUGACGGUCUAGGCAGCCCUCGCAGGGCCGGCCCCAUCGCUCCCCGCGCAGCAUUUGGAGAUGGCCACCCGGAGCGGAGACGGCUGGCGCCCGCCCGCGCCAACCUCUUCAGGCGGAAAUGGCUAACGAGGAGAUUUGCUCGGCAAAGCAGACCUCGCCUUUCCAAGGCUUCGUUUGAUUAGGCCCUAAUGUUGGGGGGUGCGGGGGCUUAGAGGAGUUCUGCAGCACCUCCGGACCCUUCUCCAGCGGGCUGAGUGCGCCUGGGCAGGGAUGGGCUGGUUCCUGCGACCGCGCGCUCCCAGCGCUUUCCUAGGCAGGCUGUCGGAAUAAAGUGUGUCCAGGUGCUUCU